rnacentral:tRNA from 1 species
GGGUGGUCUAGCGGUUAGAACGCUGGCCUUGUAAUCCUGGGGUCUCGGGUUCGAUUCCCGGCGGUGCCA